rnacentral:tRNA from 1 species
UCCCGGGUGGCUCAGAGGUUAAAGCAUCUGCCUGCAAUGUGGGAGACCUGGGUUCGAUCCCUGGAUCAGGAA